rnacentral:lncRNA from 1 species
GACGAUGUCGGAGUGAGAGUUGAGACCCAUCACCAACUCCGGCUGCGGGCACGGUGGAUAAUAGUUCAUCCGGAAUAGCUGCCACCCUUCUUCGUCGAACAACACAUUCAUGUCAUUUUGGUCCAUCCCUAGAGCUUUGGCCAUCAGAUUCAGAAUCUUCAUGGCCAGACUCUUCAGUGCCGUUGAGUAUUCUUCUAGCGUAUCCCUGUUUGCAUGCAUAUGUAGUUUUAACAAUCCAACGACCCAGUGGAUUUGAACAGCUUCAUAAUGAAGUCCGAUAAACCAUAAAUCUGACCGAAACCGAGCCGGUCAAAACGGUUUUGAAACUACGUUGACUAGUUUUUGGUGCGGUUUUAAUGAUAACCGCAACUUAAAAUUUAAAGUGUUUAAUAUCAUGCUAUUUAAACCGUCAUUGUUACCUUCACCAACCCGUUAAUAUAUAAUGAUGUCGCUUUGUAUAUGAUAAUAUCUAAAUAACUAACAAUUAUCUAUUCUUCCACAAAAAUACAAAAAAUUGGUUUUAAAACUCAAACUCACCUGCUUUCAACAAGUUUUCACCAACUGGUUAAAAAAUCAGAAUAGCAUUUGGUUGAUUUGUUUGGUUAAUAAUAAUCGACGGUUAAGUUAAAACCGCAACCCGAUUAAAUACCGUAAUGAUAUUAGAAUCAAACCCUAACAGUGAAACUUGAUAAUUUUCGCCGUAUCCGUUAUUAAAACGGUUAGGCGGUAGAUACAGUAACCGUCACCAAUCCGAACCAUCGCAAAGUACUAAAGCAAUACCUGAGUGUGAGAGGCAACAAAGGGAAGAGGUAAGGUCUCCUCUCAUGUGUAGGGAGGCUAGUGAGGUAGACCAUAUCUCCCCAAUCUAGCUUCUGCUCUUGAGAAACCACAAAGGCUUGUCCAAAACCUUCCAAAUCUCCACAUCUCUGCCAAAACUUCUUCUUCUCUUCCAUUGGAAUGCUGAACCACUCUUUAAUCUCCUUCUUCACUCUCUCCACCAAUGAAUCGCUCACCCCAUGGUUAACCAACUAAUAGCAAAACAAUUUUAUAAAACUGGUUAAAAAUUCAACAUCAAAAGUCACGAAAAUGAUUUUGAUCACAAAACAUGUACUACGUAUACGGACCUGGAAGAAGCCCCAAUCUUUGCAAGCGUCGUGGAGCCUAUCCAGCUCUUGAUCUGAGGAUAGUAGUUUCUCCAAAUCGAUCAAAGGAACUUGAGCCGUAGAUUUGAUGGUGGUAUUGUUGCGUGGACGGUGUGGAUCAUGGCGGAUGAAACGGGGAGGGGCGGAGGCGAGGAGGGGAUGUUUGGCCAGUUGCUGAACGCAUGGCACUGGCAGGGAGCUUCCUAGCUUUGUUAGCUCUUGUUCCAUCAUCUCUAUGAUCUUUUUAUCUCUUUUGGAUCAAUUUAUCUUUAAUAUAUGGCUCUCUUGGCAGUUUGAUUUGGCCGCAAUUUCAUUUGGGAAAAAUGGAAGGAGGCGACAAAUUUGGUUCGAUCGUCGUCAUGUAUUGUUGCGAUGUACGUAAGGUUUCGAACACAAAUUUGAAGGUAACAAAUUUUGUUAUAUACAGAGAGAAAAAGUAUUAUAAUAAUGAUGGAAUAUAAUAAAGGAGGGAAAGAAAAUGAAUAAUGUUUUGAUAACAUAAAGAUUGCACGUAUCACUAAUUAAUCGGUAUAGUUAUCCGCGCGAAAACUGUGAGCAAGCAAAGGAUUAUAUAACUUUACCAUUAAAAAACUUCAUUUCAAUUCGUACUUAAUUUAACUCGUUUAUUAAUAAUAUUUAUUGCCCACUUAUUAACACAAAACACGUGGGCCAAUAUUUUUAUGGCCAAUUUAUCUCGUUAUUAAUGGGUUUUAUGGCCCAUUUAGUGGUUGUGAAUCCUCAUGACAUCGACGUAAGACUUGCCAGUGAGCUCCCGUCCGAAAAAUCCUUUGAAGUAGUCUGUUACACUUAUCCUCUUAAACUGGGUUGGGGAGGUGGGAGUAAUUAGGCUCGGAGCUGGGCCCAAAUCUCCGUCUAACCUCGGGCUCAAGAAUGUGGCCACUGAGAUCCUCUCCUUUUUUGAGUUCACGGUAGCUCGAUGUUCGACGCUUUUGUAAACCCCGUUGCUCACAAUCUACACCAUAUAAAAAAAUGAACACACGUGUAACUAAGUGAAAGUCCAGUUUAACUUUUCACCUGUCAGAUCAAAUGUUAACUUUCCAUUUUACCUCCAAAAUGUCGCCCACAUUUACGAUUAACGCAUCCGGCAGAGGCGUAACGGGAACCCAAUAUCCAUCGUUCUUGACCUGUAACCCCGGCGUAUCGCUCGUCACUUGUAGCAGUAUUGUGAGCCCGACAGCGUCAGAGUGUGAGUUGAGACCCAUCACCAGCUCCGGCUGCGGGCACGGUGGAUAAUAGUUCAUUCGAAAUUGCUGCCACCCUUCUUCUCCAAACAACACGUUCAUGUCAGUUCGGUCCAUCCCUAGAGCUUCAGCCAUCAGGUUCAAAAUCUUCAUGGCCAAACUCUUCAGUGCUGCUGAAUAUUCUUCCAAUGUAUUCCUGUUGCAUAUAUUUAAAGAAAAAACAGAGUUGCCAAGUUACAAACCAUUCUCAAUCUCUAACAACUACCGAUUCUAUAGGCAACCUAAUGCUUCGAACUAGCGACCAAUGUCGCCUAUAUCGUAUAGGAGAUCCAAGUUGGAUUCUUCCCGUUUCGUUUCAACGAAACAAGUAGAAAGUUUGAUUUCCCGACCGGACAGAACUUGGUACCUGAGUGAAAGAGGCAACAAGGGGAAGAGAUAAGGUCUCCUUAGAUGUGUAGGAAGGCUAGUGAUGUAGAACAUAUCUCCCCAAUCUAGCUUCUGCUCUUGAGAAACCACAAAGGCUUGUCCAAAACCUUCCAAAUCUCCACAUCUCUGCCAAAACUUCUUCUUCUCUUCCAUUGGAAUGCUGAACCACUCUUUAAUCUCCUUCUUCACUCUCUCCACCAAUGAAUCGCUCACCCCAUGGUUAACCAACUAAUAGCAAAACAAUUUUAUAAAACUGGUUAAAAAUUCAACAUCAAAAGUCACGAAAAUGAUUUUGAUCACAAAACAUGUACUACGUAUACGGACCUGGAAGAAGCCCCAAUCUUUGCAAGCGUCGUGGAGCCUAUCCAGCUCUUGAUCUGAAGAUAGUAGUUUCUCCAAAUCGACCAAAGGAACUUGAGCCGUAGAUUUGACAGUAGCAUCAUCGCGUGGUUCGUGACGGAUGAAACGGGGAGGAACGGAGGUUAGGAGUGGAUCCUUGGCCAGCUCCUGAACGCAUGGCACUGGCAGGGAGCCCCCCAGCUUGGUUAGCUCUUCCAUCUCAAGUUGUAAUUGUCUCUAAUCUAUGCUUUUUAGUUCCUCUUGUAUGUAUAAUGGCAUUAUGGCUCUGGAAAAAACAAAGCAAAAUGACAAAUUUUACCGCCAACGUCGGUUUAGCUGAAUCCCAAUUGCAAGAAGACAAAAGAAGCGAAAGGCUUAUCCUUUUAUCUACGUAUGACUCGUAUAGGGUAUUAAAAUUAUUCGGAAUCCGUUAUUGAUUACUAUAUUGCUCCGUUCAAUCGGGUAGGACGAUACUAAUUUGGCUAUAAAAAUCGAAUAUGUUGAGAUAUUUUGUGAAGAAAAAGAGACCAUCCAACAGCGUAAUAUAUGGAUAGUGUCGGCAGGGUUGAAUAUGAAUGACCCGUUAAAAAGACGUACAGUGAGCUCUGUUUCUAAGGAUAAUUCUUAGAGUUGAUCGUCAUGUCGCCGGCGAAGAAAACUGGAUUGGUUGGUCGGAGCCGUCAGCUGAGGCACCCACAUCAUUAUAUAACAUUUGUUCGUAUAAAAGUCCAAAUUUAUAUCAUUGAUAAGAUAACAACAACUUGAAAAGUAAUUUCGGAAGAAACCCCAAUCUUUGCAAGCGUCGUGGAGCCUAUCCAGCUCUUGAUCUGAGGAUAGUAGUUUCUCCAAAUCGACCAAAGGAACUUGAGCCGUAGAUUUGACAGUAGCAUCAUCGCGUGGUUCGUGACGGAUGAAACGGGGAGGAACGGAGGUUAGGAGUGGAUCCUUGGCCAGCUCCUGAACGCAUGGCACUGGCAGGGAGCCCCCCAGCUUGGUUUGCUCUUCCAUCUCAAGUUGUAAUUGUUUCUAAUCUUUGGUUUUUUUUUCCUCUAUGAAUAAUGUUUUGAUAACAUAAAGAUUGCACGUAUCACUAAUUAAUCGGUAUAGUUAUCCGCGCGAAAACUGUGAGCAAGCAAAGGAUUAUAUAACUUUACCAUUAAAAAACUUCAUUUCAAUUCGUACUUAAUUUAACUCGUUUAUUAAUAAUAUUUAUUGCCCACUUAUUAACACAAAACACGUGGGCCAAUAUUUUUAUGGCCAAUUUAUCUCGUUAUUAAUGGGUUUUAUGGCCCAUUUAGUGGUUGUGAAUCCUCAUGACAUCGACGUAAGACUUGCCAGUGAGCUCCCGUCCGAAAAAUCCUUUGAAGUAGUCUGUUACACUUAUCCUCUUAAACUGGGUUGGGGAGGUGGGAGUAAUUAGGCUCGGAGCUGGGCCCAAAUCUCCGUCUAACCUCGGGCUCAAGAAUGUGGCCACUGAGAUCCUCUCCUUUUUUGAGUUCACGGUAGCUCGAUGUUCGACGCUUUUGUAAACCCCGUUGCUCACAAUCUACACCAUAUAAAAAAAUGAACACACGUGUAACUAAGUGAAAGUCCAGUUUAACUUUUCACCUGUCAGAUCAAAUGUUAACUUUCCAUUUUACCUCCAAAAUGUCGCCCACAUUUACGAUUAACGCAUCCGGCAGAGGCGUAACGGGAACCCAAUAUCCAUCGUUCUUGACCUGUAACCCCGGCGUAUCGCUCGUCACUUGUAGCAGUAUUGUGAGCCCGACAGCGUCAGAGUGUGAGUUGAGACCCAUCACCAGCUCCGGCUGCGGGCACGGUGGAUAAUAGUUCAUUCGAAAUUGCUGCCACCCUUCUUCUCCAAACAACACGUUCAUGUCAGUUCGGUCCAUCCCUAGAGCUUCAGCCAUCAGGUUCAAAAUCUUCAUGGCCAAACUCUUCAGUGCUGCUGAAUAUUCUUCCAAUGUAUUCCUGUUGCAUAUAUUUAAAGAAAAAACAGAGUUGCCAAGUUACAAACCAUUCUCAAUCUCUAACAACUACCGAUUCUAUAGGCAACCUAAUGCUUCGAACUAGCGACCAAUGUCGCCUAUAUCGUAUAGGAGAUCCAAGUUGGAUUCUUCCCGUUUCGUUUCAACGAAACAAGUAGAAAGUUUGAUUUCCCGACCGGACAGAACUUGGUACCUGAGUGAAAGAGGCAACAAGGGGAAGAGAUAAGGUCUCCUUAGAUGUGUAGGAAGGCUAGUGAUGUAGAACAUGUCUCCCCAAUCAAGCUUUUGCUCUUCGGAUACCACAAAGGCUUGCCCAAAGCCUUCCAAAUCUCCAUAUCUCUGCCAAAAC